GGCCAAUAAACCUGGGUUCUGGUAUAGAGCUUCAGACUGGCCCAUGCUUGGCUGAGAAGAAACUCUGGUGGGAGUAGUUCUGUAACUACUUAUGCAGUCCAGGCAUCCUUCCAGACUGCUGAAUUUAGCAGCACCUCACUUCAGAAUCCAGUUUCACUCUUUUUGACCAUGAAAAGAGCAACAGACCAAUUCUUCUGUUGCAAAGAAUUCAAGAAAACCACAACAGCACCCUUGAAAAUCUCAGGGCACCACAAGGUGAGAAUUGCCCUGGUCUAAGGAGACAAGAUAUACGAACAGCAGGAGGAGAAAUGAAGAGGUCAAGCAACAUGCCAGGGCAACCCAGAAGCAGUGGCAAAGCUAAGUAUACAUAGAACCCAUGGGACUUUGUCACAAUCCAGUGCUUUGGUCAUCCACCCACGCGGACUAUUCUGACUGCUAGAAGAUGGAUUUGGCAAGUUGGGCUCAUGUCUGAGCAUACAGUUGGUGUAAGAACAAUAACUGCUCAUCUUUAUGGCUACCUUGCAGCAUCUGCAUCCUCAUUACUGUUUGUUUGU